rnacentral:rRNA from 1 species
CUUAAAUGAAUUGACGGGGCCCGCACAAGCGGUGGAGCAUGUGGUUUAAUUCGACGCAACGCGAAGAACCUUACCAGGGCUUGACAUCCCCUGACCGCGUAUGAAAGUACGUUUUCACCCUCGGGUGACAGGGAGACAGGUGGUGCAUGGUUGUCGUCAGCUCGUGUCGUGAGAUGUUGGGUUAAGUCCCGCAACGAGCGCAACCCCUACGUUUAGUUGCUAACGCGUGAAGGCGAGCACUCUAGACGAACUGCCGUUGACAAAACGGAGGAAGUGGGGAUGACGUCAAAUCAUCAUGCCCCUUAUGUUCUGGGCUACACACGUGCUACAAUGGCCGGUACAGACGGACGCAAAGCCGCGAGGUGGAGCAAAUCCUAAAAAGCCGGUCUCAGUUCGGAUUGCAGGCUGCAAUUCGCCUGCAUGAAGUCGGAAUCGCUAGUAAUCGCAGGUCAGCAUACUGCGGUGAAUACGUUCCCGGGCCUU